rnacentral:rRNA from 1 species
AGAGUUUGAUCAUGGCUCAGAACGUACGCUGGCGGCACGCCUAACACAUGCAAGUCGAACGAAGUAGCAAUACUUAGUGGCAGACGGGUGAGUAACAUGUAGGUAUCUGCCCUUUGGCCUGGAAUAACACGAGGAAACUUGUGCUAAUACCGGAUAAGUCUUUACGGAGAAAGCUUUAUGCACCAUUGGAUGAGCCUGCACUUGAUUAGUUUGUUGGUGGGGUAAUGGCCUACCAAGACUGUGAUCAAUAGCUGAUUUGAGAGGAUGAUCAGCCACAUUGGGACUGAGACACGGCCCAAACUCCUACGGGAGGCAGCAGUGGGGAAUCUUGCACAAUGGAGGAAACUCUGAUGCAGCGAUGCCGCGUGAGUGAAGAAGGCCCUUGGGUUGUAAAGCUCUUUCGUCGGGGAAGAAAAUGACUGUACCCGAAUAAGAAGGUCCGGCUAACUUCGUGCCAGCAGCCGCGGUAAUACGAAGGGACCUAGCGUAGUUCGGAAUUACUGGGCUUAAAGAGUUCGUAGGUGGUUGAAAAAGUUAGUGGUGAAAUCCCAGAGCUUAACUCUGGAACUGCCAUUAAAACUUUUCAGCUAGAGUAUGAUAGAGGAAAGCAGAAUUUCUAGUGUAGAGGUGAAAUUCGUAGAUAUUAGAAAGAAUACCAAUUGCGAAGGCAGCUUUCUGGAUCAUUACUGACACUGAGGAACGAAAGCAUGGGUAGCGAAGAGGAUUAGAUACCCUCGUAGUCCAUGCCGUAAACGAUGUGUGUUAGACGUUGGAAAUUUAUUUUUCAGUGUCGCAGGGAAACCGAUAAACACACCGCCUGGGGAGUACGACCGCAAGGUUAAAACUCAAAUGAAUUGACGGGGACCCGCACAAGUAGUGGAGCAUGUGGUUUAAUUCGAAGAUACGCGCAGAACCUUACCAACACUUGACAUGUUCGUCGCGACUCUAAGAGAUUAGAGUUUUCGGUUCGGCCGGACGAAACACAGGUGCUGCAUGGCUGUCGUCAGCUCGUGUCGUGAGAUGUUGGGUUAAGUCCCGCAACGAGCGCAACCCUCACUUUUAGUUGCCAUCAUUAAGUUGGGCACUCUGAAAGAACUGCCAGUGAUAAGCUGGAGGAAGGUGGGGAUGACGUCAAGUCCUCAUGGCCCUUACGUGUUGGGCUACACACGUGCUACAAUGGUAUCUACAACAGGAAGCAAGACUGCGAAGUUAAGCAAAUCCCUAAAAGAUACCUCAGUUCGGAUUGCACUCUGCAACUCGAGUGCAUGAAGCUGGAAUUACUAGUAAUCGUGGAUCAGCGUGCCACGGUGAAUGCGUUCCCGGGUCUUGUACACACCGCCCGUCACACCAUGGGAGUUGGUUCUACCUUAAGGCAAGGUUUCAAACCCUUGACCACGGUAUAGUCAGCGACUGGGGUGAAGUCGUAACAAGGUA